AUUGAACGCUGGCGGCAGGCCUAACACAUGCAAGUCGAGCGGAGUGGCGGACGGGUGAGUAAUGCCUAGGAAUCUGCCUGGUAGUGGGGGAUAACGUCCGGAAACGGGCGCUAAUACCGCAUACUAUCAGAUGAGCCUAGGUCGGAUUAGCUAGUUGGUGGGGUAAAGGCCUACCAAGGCGACGAUCCGUAACUGGUCUGAGAGGUUGGUCAGUCACACUAGAAUUAGGACACGGUCCAGGCUCAUACGGGAGGCAGCAGUGGAGAAUAUUGAACAAUGGGCGAAAGCCUUCACCAGCCAUGCCGCGUGUGGGAAGAAGGACUUCGGAAUGUAAAGCACUUUAAGUUGGGAGGCGUUACCAACAGAAUAAGCACCGGCGAACUUCGUGCCAGCAGCCGCGGUAAUAC
rnacentral:rRNA from 1 species